AACGAACGCUGGCGGCAGGCUUAACACAUGCAGGUCGAACGCCCCGCAAGGGGAGUGGCCGACGGGUGAGUACCGCGUGGGUACCUCCCCUUUUCUCCGGAAUAGCAUCUGGAAACUGGAAUUAAUACCGUAUACGCCCUACGGUGGAACGAUUUAUCCGGGAAGUAUGGGCCCCGGUUGGAUUAGCUUGUUGGUGGGGUAAAGGCCUACCAAGGCGACGAUCCCUAUCUGGUCGGAGAGGAAGGUCAGCCACAUUGGGAGUGAGACACGGCCCAAACUCCGACGGGAGGAAGCAGGGGGGAAUAUUGGACAAUGGGCGCAAGACUGAUGCAGCCAUGCCGCGUGAGUGAUGAAGGCCUUAGGGUAGUAAAGCGCUUUCACCGAUGAAGAUAAUGACGGUAGUAGGAGAAGAAGCCCCGGCUAACUUCGUG
rnacentral:rRNA from 1 species